AUUGAACGCUGGCGGCAGGCUUAACACAUGCAAGUCGAGCGGGGUGAUGUAGCUUGCUACCUAACCUAGCGGCGGACGGGUGAGUAAUGCUUAGGAAUCUGCCUAUUAGUGGGGGACAACAUUCCGAAAGGAAUGCUAAUACCGCAUACGCCCUACGGGGGAAAGCAGGGGAUCUUCGGACCUUGCGCUAAUAGAUGAGCCUAAGUCAGAUUAGCUAGUUGGUGGGGUAAAGGCCUACCAAGGCGACGAUCUGUAGCGGGUCUGAGAGGAUGAUCCGCCACACUGGGACUGAGACACGGCCCAGACUCCUACGGGAGGCAGCAGUGGGGAAUAUUGGACAAUGGGCGAAAGCCUGAUCCAGCCAUGCCGCGUGUGUGAAGAAGGCCUUUUGGUUGUAAAGCACUUUAAGCGAGGAGGAGGCUACUUAGAUUAAUACUCUAGGAUAGUGGACGUUACUCGCAGAAUAAGCACCGGCUAACUCUGUGCCAGCAGCCGCAGUAACAC
rnacentral:rRNA from 1 species